rnacentral:rRNA from 1 species
UACGUAGGGUGCAAGCGUUGUCCGGAAUUAUUGGGCGUAAAGGGCUCGUAGGCGGUUUGUCGCGUCGGGAGUGAAAACCUUGGGCUUAACUCAGGGCUUGCUUUCGAUACGGGCAGACUAGAGGUAUGCAGGGGAGACGUGAAUUCCUGGUGUAGCGGUGAAAUGCGCAGAUAUCAGGAGGAACACCGGUGGCGAAGGCGUCUCUGG